rnacentral:tRNA from 1 species
CAUGGAGUAGAUCAGUGGCAGAUCACCCCGCUUGGGACGGGGAGGGCGCGGGUUCGAUCCCCGCCUCCAUGUCCG